AAACUAAUGCAAGGCUAUCUCCUCCAACCCUCUUUCAUGCCAAUUUCAUCGUUCCACUCACCUCUCAUCAAUGAAAGGAAUCCUCUCCUUCACUCACCCAAGACCCUCUUCCUCCCUUUAUAGUUAACAACGUCUUCUUUCUUAAAGGUGUUCUUAUGGCCAGAAUGGGAAGAUCACCUCCUCCCUUCUUUUUGUUUAUUUUUUAUAUUUAAUUUAGAUUUUAGAUAUUAUUUAUUAGCCUCUUUUCCAUAGCCUAUCUGACCAUUUAUGUUGUUGUUGUAUUUAUUGAGCAGAGAAAAGGAAUGGU
rnacentral:lncRNA from 1 species